GUGGGAAAAUUCAGUGCGAGAAGGUUACCGAGGGGUUGGUGAGGGGGGCGGGGGGUUGGGGAGGGUAUGGCUUUUCUCUGUAUGUAAUAGACACAAAACCGAGGCUCUGAGGCUGUUCGAAAAGCUCUGUGUUGAAUUUGGAGCCCCUUUUGUUGUUGCGGGUUGCAGAUUGUUGGUGUUGCAGGUUGCUAUCGCUGUUGUUCCUGUUGCUGUUGCAGUUGCAGCAGUUGCCUGCUGCCUGGAAGUGGGAAAACUAAACUACAACAGCAGCAAAACAUUUUGCUAAAUACACACUGGAAAUGGCAGUCUCCACUUUCCACCUCCAUCGCUCUAGCUUUCUCUCUCUCUCUCUCUCUCUCUUGCGCCUCGUCUCUUUCUGCCACAGAUGCUGCAUGUUGCACAUUGGAAAACUAAGCCCGCCACGGAAAGUGAGAAGGUGGAAAAAUACAGAGGGUGGUGAAAACAGAGCUCUCUUUCCAUCAGUUCCUCUUGUAUUUUCACCGAAAUAUAACAAAAGGGAAAAAGAACCCAAAUGGAACGACAAAAACAACAAUCAGAAUUCGGAAUAUUCGCGAAAAUUUUUUGGGGAAUACAGAUAUGUAAAUACUAGCAGGACAAGUAUGGAGAGAAUGGGUGAUAAAGUAGGUAAACUGGAGGAUAAGAAUACGCGAUUUUUCUCAACAAAAAACUAAAGUUUAACUUACAUUUAUAAAUUUGUUAAAAACAAAUUGGUUUAAAAAGUUGUGGAAUUGCGAAACUCACCUGCAAAAUAAAAGAAAAAUAUACAUUUAUUUGCAAUAUUGAUUUCAAUUAUUGUAUUAAAUAAAUUUAUUUAAACGGUUAAUGGAAACCGGACCUAACAAACUUAUAAUACGUUUUUACUUUACUCUCAAGAGAUAUUUCUUUGAAGAUAUUUUAUAAUUGUUUUCAGGCAUUUCAAAUGACUCAAAAAGUAUCCACGAGUUGAAGACCAAGAUCGUGAAUCGGUUGUUUCUUUUUUUUUUUUUUUUGUGAGAUGACCAACAAUGCGAAACUUCGACUUGGGGAGGGGUGGGGGCGAGGCUAACUGAGGGGCAGAGGUGAUACAGAUGACGACGACGACGACAGAUGGUCAAGAGGAAUGUAUCUGUAUCUGCAUUUGCGGCUGCUGCCUACGGCUCGCGCAUAUGUGUGCUUGUACGUGUGUAUCUACAACAUAACACAAAUCAAAACUUGGCUGAAACUGCAGGCGGAGGCUGCUGAUAUGGUCGCUGUUGCUUUUGCUGUUGCUAUUGCUGUGUUGCUAUUGCUAAGUUGCUAUUGCUGUUGCUGUUUUCUGCUGCAGCUUGCCCCAUCGACAGCAGCAACAACAAAACUUAACUGAACUGCACUGAAGGCUGUGAGGCACAUACAUAACUAAUAGAUACAUAAAGCCGUAUCUUUUGGGUGAAUGAACUGUAAUGAGAAUGUGAACCUAGGCAACAACAACUAGCGACUAGCAACCGGCAACCAGCAAACAGCAACCAGCGAUGUUGUCGUCGUCUCAGCCGCAGCAACAUCAGAAACAUCAGCCCAUUGCAAAUGCCGAGAAUCGCAACGCAAAGUGCGCAAUUAGAGGUGUUGUUGUUGUUGUUCUGUUGCUGCUGUUUCUUGUUGUUGCUCACUGCUGCUCUUUGUAAUGUUUUUGGUAAAAUUGCUAGUGAUUUUUGGACCUAUUCUAAAGCGAUCUGUUUAUAAUCCUACUGUUUCCACAGAUCGAAGAUGAAAGAAUUUCACUAUUUACGUUCCAUUGCCAGUUCAGGAGUUGGAACUGCUGCCUAAAAAGCUCCCGAAAUAAACAGGGAGCGCACCUAGGGUGCCACCCACCGCCAAAAAGGAACUAGUGAACUUUUUGCAAGGCAAAAUGUUUCAGGCGUGGCGCACACACUCGCAUAUAUGUAGGCAAAAUGAAAACAGCAAAGAACACGAAAAAGGCGCAAAGCACACGGAAAAAGAAAGGUGGAGACAGAGAAAGAGGGGUGGAGAAUAUGGAAAAGGGUUUUAAAGACCACGAAAAUGUGCAAGGGUUAUGAAUUGCCAUACUCAUUCCCUCAAUUAUUUAAUAUAUUGCAUAAAUGCACGCAACAUCAGAAUAUUUUGCAAAAAAGGGGGCGAUAAGGGAAAAGGGCAAGGAUAAUAGAGGCGGGUCCUUCGGUAUUCCCUAAAGGUAAGGAGACGGGCAGUUACAUUGGAAAGUGCAAAAGUUUCACAACAAAAUUGAAUUUUUAAUUUGCUUUGCACACAAAGCAAAUAAAAGAGAGAAACACAAACGAAAAGUAGUGAGAGGGAGUAGCAAAAAGUUUUAAAACAUCAAAAGCAGAUGGUAUACAAACAUAUAUUAUACACAAAAACUGCUAUCGCAAGUCCAAACUUGCAGCACACUCGCAAAAACUUAAUGAAAACGAAGUGAGUAAAAUAUAUAAGGGACAUGACUUCAAAAAAUUGUUACAUUUUUUUAAUCACCAUGAAUGGAGAGAGGAUCGUUGGUAUUUGGUAAUUAUUAGUACAACGGAGUAAGUCUUUACAGCUGUUGCUCCUGUGUUUGAAAUAGAUAUAUUUUAUUUGGUGAUUUAAGCUUUCUUAAAAGUAUUUAACCUAUUCGAUUCUUUAAGAAUGCAACCGAAUAAGUAUGCUCCGAAAAGGAGACUGCCAAAUCAGGGAAAGCGCGGAAAAGUGAAAGAAGGAAAUGCGAUUGAGGGAAAACUAACAAGGAGCUGAGCUGCCGAUACAUGGCGGACACACACAGUGGAGGCAUAGAUGUGCUCUAUGUACCAGAAACGAAUGCCGUCGCCAUCGCCAGCACCAGAUACAUAUCGACACAAAGCCAAGGAAGAAGUGCAAAAAAGAAAACAUUAAGGGGCAAAAACUUCGGAAAAGCAUCUGCAACAACAACUGCAUCUGCAUGUGCAUCUCGACGAAACAAGAAAAGUUCCAAAGUGCAAUAACCGUUUACCAUUAACCCUUCGAUGGCUCCAGGGGCCAUCCCAUUGACAGCCAAUCGCGGCGAUCUAUGCGACGUCAUACACAGCGAGAAAAUGGGGGCAACUUGAUAAUGGUGAAUCAAAAUGGAAAGAAGCAACAUAGCCUCGGCAUAAUAUACAAUAUAACUUUUUGUUGUUGCUUAUUAAAUAUAAGUAAUCUUUCGCACUUACCCUCACUCCAAUAAAUCGAGCCUCCAGAAGCUCCUGUUUCCGUGGAUUCAGUGAAGUUUGAAAUUGA